GGUAAAAUGACCGAAAUUAAGGUGAUAAAUUGUAAAUUUAUUAAUGAAUUUGUAUUCUUUUACUA
rnacentral:tRNA from 1 species